AGGCCCGUGGGGGGCGUGCUUACACAUGCAGUCGAACGGUGAAGCCCAGCUUGCUGGGUGGAUCAGUGGCGAACGGGUGAGUAACACGUGAGCAACCUGCCCCUGACUCUGGGAUAAGCGCUGGAAACGGCGUCUAAUACUGGAUAUGUGACGUGACCGCAUGGUCUGCGUCUGGAAAGAAUUUCGGUUGGGGAUGGGCUCGCGGCCUAUCAGCUUGUUGGUGAGGUAAUGGCUCACCAAGGCGUCGACGGGUAGCCGGCCUGAGAGGGUGACCGGCCACACUGGGACUGAGACACGGCCCAGACUCCUACGGGAGGCAGCAGUGGGGAAUAUUGCACAAUGGGCGCAAGCCUGAUGCAGCAACGCCGCGUGAGGGAUGACGGCCUUCGGGUUGUAAACCUCUUUUAGCAGGGAAGAAGCGAAAGUGACGGUACCUGCAGAAAAAGCGCCGGCUAACUACGUGCCAGCAGCCGCGGUAAUACGUAGGGCGCAAGCGUUAUCCGGAAUUAUUGGGCGUAAAGAGCUCGUAGGCGGUUUGUCGCGUCUGCUGUGAAAUCCCGAGGCUCAACCUCGGGCCUGCAGUGGGUACGGGCAGACUAGAGUGCGGUAGGGGAGAUUGGAAUUCCUGGUGUAGCGGUGGAAUGCGCAGAUAUCAGGAGGAACACCGAUGGCGAAGGCAGAUCUCUGGGCCGUAACUGACGCUGAGGAGCGAAAGGGUGGGGAGCAAACAGGCUUAGAUACCCUGGUAGUCCACCCCGUAAACGUUGGGAACUAGUUGUGGGGUCCAUUCCACGGAUUCCGUGACGCAGCUAACGCAUUAAGUUCCCCGCCUGGGGAGUACGGCCGCAAGGCUAAAACUCAAAGGAAUUGACGGGGACCCGCACAAGCGGCGGAGCAUGCGGAUUAAUUCGAUGCAACGCGAAGAACCUUACCAAGGCUUGACAUAUACGAGAACGGGCCAGAAAUGGUCAACUCUUUGGACACUCGUAAACAGGUGGUGCAUGGUUGUCGUCAGCUCGUGUCGUGAGAUGUUGGGUUAAGUCCCGCAACGAGCGCAACCCUCGUUCUAUGUUGCCAGCACGUAAUGGUGGGAACUCAUGGGAUACUGCCGGGGUCAACUCGGAGGAAGGUGGGGAUGACGUCAAAUCAUCAUGCCCCUUAUGUCUUGGGCUUCACGCAUGCUACAAUGGCCGGUACAAAGGGCUGCAAUACCGUGAGGUGGAGCGAAUCCCAAAAAGCCGGUCCCAGUUCGGAUUGAGGUCUGCAACUCGACCUCAUGAAGUCGGAGUCGCUAGUAAUCGCAGAUCAGCAACGCUGCGGUGAAUACGUUCCCGGGUCUUGUACACACCGCCCGUCAAGUCAUGAAAGUCGGUAACACCUGAAGCCGGUGGCCUAACCUUUUGGAGGAGCCGUCGAAGGUGGAUUCGAAUA
rnacentral:rRNA from 1 species